rnacentral:tRNA from 1 species
GGAUCCGUAGCUCAUUUGGCUAGAGCGCCGCAUUGACGUUGCGGAGGUGGCAGGUUCGAAUCCUGCCGGAUCCACCA